rnacentral:pre_miRNA from 1 species
GAUAUACUCCCUCCGUCCGGAAAUACUUGUCGUAGAAAUGGAUGAAAAUGGAUGCAUCUAGAAUAAAAAUACAUCUAGAUACAUCCAUCUCUUCGACGAGUAUUUCCGGACGGAGGGAGUAACAU